rnacentral:rRNA from 1 species
CGCUGGCGGCGUGCCUAAUACAUGCAAGUCGAACGGCUUUUCUAUGGAAGCUUGCUUCCACUGAGAAGAUAGUGGCGGACGGGUGAGUAACGCGUGGGUAACCUGCCUCAUACAGGGGGAUAACAGUUGGAAACGACUGCUAAGACCGCAUAACCCGCUAGUGUCGCAUGACACGGACGGAAAAUAUUUAUAGGUACGAGAUGGGCCCGCGUCUGAUUAGCUAGUUGGUAAGGUAACGGCUUACCAAGGCGACGAUCAGUAGCCGACUUGAGAGAGUGAUCGGCCACAUUGGGACUGAGACACGGCCCAAACUCCUACGGGAGGCAGCAGUGGGGAAUAUUGGACAAUGGGGGAAACCCUGAUCCAGCGAACCGCCGCGUGAGUGAAGAAGUAUUUCGGUAUGUAAAGCUCUAUCAGCAGGGAAGAUAAUGACAGUACCUGACUAAGAAGCCCCGGCUAACUACGUGCCAGCCGCUGC